rnacentral:rRNA from 1 species
AGAGUUUGAUCCUGGCUCAGAAUGAACGCUGGCGGCAGGCCUAACACAUGCAAGUCGAACGGAAUUAUAUUGUAGCUUGCUACGGUAUAAUUUAGUGGCAGACGGGUGAGUAAUGUAUAGGAAUCUACCUAGUAGUACGGAAUAAUUGUUGGAAACGGCAACUAAUACCGUAUACGCCCCACGGGGGAAAAAUUUAUUGCUAUUAGAUGAGCCUAUAUUAGAUUAGCUUGUUGGUAGGGUAAUAGCUUACCAAGGCAAUGAUCUAUAGCUGAUCUGAGAGGAUGAUCAGCCACACUGGAACUGAGAUACGGUCCAGACUCCUACGGGAGGCAGCAGUGGGGAAUAUUGGACAAUGGGCGAAAGCCUGAUCCAGCUAUGCCGCAUGAGUGAAGAAGGCCUUUGGGUUGUAAAGCUCUUUUAGUGAGGAAGAUAAUGACGGUACUCACAGAAGAAGUCCUGGCUAACUCCGUGCCAGCAGCCGCGGUAAUACGGAGAGGGCUAGCGUUAUUCGGAAUUAUUGGGCGUAAAGGGCGCGUAGGCUGACUAAUAAGUUAAAAGUGAAAUCCCGAGGCUUAACCUUGGAAUUGCUUUUAAAACUGUUAAUCUAGAGAUUGAAAGAGGAUAGAGGAAUUCCUAGUGUAGAGGUAAAAUUCGUAAAUAUUAGGAGGAACACCAGUGGCGAAGGCGUCUAUCUGGUUCAAAUCUGACGCUGAGGCGCGAAGGCGUGGGGAGCAAACAGGAUUAGAUACCCUGGUAGUCCACGCUGUAAACGAUGAAUGUUAAAUAUGGGAAAUUUAUUUUCUGUAUUACAGCUAACGCGUUAAACAUUCCGCCUGGGGACUACGGUCGCAAGAUUAAAACUCAAAGGAAUUGACGGGGACCCGCACAAGCGGUGGAUGAUGUGGUUUAAUUCGAUGCAACGCGAAAAACCUUACCUACCCUUGACAUGCCACUAACGAAGCAGAGAUGCAUUAGGUGCUCGAAAGAGAAAGUGGACACAGGUGCUGCAUGGCU